rnacentral:lncRNA from 1 species
CGAUUUCUAAAAAAAUAUUAAAAUUCAUAUAGUGAUAUGUAUUUCGAACCACAUGAUGAAGAUCUGACGGUUGGGAUUCCACCUAUAUUACUAUCAAUUAGAUUCUACCUAAAAAUUUCACUAGAAGAGAUCAUUUUGAUUUCCAAAUAUCUUCAAAUUGAUUAUCUCGACAUCAAGAUGCAUGGAUAUGAGAAAAAAAUGGAUUUCAAGGUUUGGAAAUAGUAUAUUUUGUAAUGCAUUUUUUAGCCGUCAAUUUUCAAGUUUUC